rnacentral:rRNA from 1 species
GACGAACGCUGGCGGCGUGCUUAACACAUGCAAGUCGUACGGUAAGGCCCUUUCGGGGGUACACGAGUGGCGAACGGGUGAGUAACACGUGAGUAACCUGCCCACAACUUUGGGAUAACGCUAGGAAACUGGUGCUAAUACUGGAUAUGUGCUCCUGCUGCAUGGUGGGGGUUGGAAAGCUCCGGCGGUUGUGGAUGGACUCGCGGCCUAUCAGCUUGUUGGUGGGGUAGUGGCCUACCAAGGCGGCGACGGGUAGCCGGCCGGAGAGGGUGACCGGCCACCUUGGGUCUGAGAUACGGCGCAGACUGCUGCGGGAGGCGGCAGGGGGGAUUGUUGUACAAUGGGCGCGGGCCUGGUGCGGCGGGGCCGCGGGCGGGAGGCCUGUCUUCGGGUUGUAGGCCGCUGUCGGCAGGGGCGGAGCUUUUUGUGACGGUACCAGCAGAAGAAGCAUCGGCUAACUACGUU